UGUUAGCUCAGGGCUACUCUUACUCAAGAAAAAAUAAAUAAAUAAAUAAAAAUUUUAAAAAUCAGUCCCAUUAUAGGUAUUAGUUUACUUUUAGACUCUGUGUUCUGUUCCAUCGAUCUGUUGACUUAUCAUUACACCAGUUCCGUACUGCUUUGAACAAAAUAACUUGAUAAUAGUUCUUGAAAUGAGGUAGAGCUAGCCCUCCAACAUUGUUUUUUUAUUUUAUAAAUGUUUUGACUACCCUAGAUCUUUGUCAUUUUAUAUUCAUUUAGAAUCACAUGAUUACUGUCUCCCGAAGAUGCUGACUGAGAUUUGAGUUGGCUUGGGUUGAAUCUAUAGACCCAAUUGGGGAAAACUGACAUCUCAAAAAUAAUGAGUCUCCUGACCCAUGAACAGGGAAUUUGUCUUGAUGUUUUAGGUCUGCAUUAAUUUCUUUCACCAGCGUCCUAUACUUUCAUUUGUUUGAUGCUAUUAUUUUUUACCUUUCAGUUGUGCACUGGAAUUACAUAGACAUAAAAUAGAUUUUUGUAUAUUGACCUUGUAUCCUGCUAGAAACAAAUGCUUCAGAAUCAAGCCAGAUCUGGCAGAGACCACAGUUUUGGGGACUUGUGUAUUUUCCAGGUGAGAAGAAUCUUCUUCAGAUCAAUUGAGGUUUUAUCAUCAGGCCAAAGAAGAUAAUCAACACCCAUGUUGAGUCCUGUGGCCAGGAGGUGUUUGUAGGAGGGCUGUUGUGGACUAACGAAUGUGAAAGGUUUUGUGUGUUCAUGAGCAAGAUUUCCUUAAAAGUGUGUGUGCUGAUGUGCAGCUUCCUGACCUCCUUUGUAAAAGUCACUGUUGGUCCAAGAGAAUACAGAAUGAAUUCUAUACAGAAUGACUGCAGAUCACUGGCUAAACAUUUAGUGUCCACGGGGUCCAAAAUUUUGCCAAACAUGUUUUUCUAAGAUGUCAUGCUCUUCUGAGCCAACUCAUUUGCGACUCCAAAAGCCUCAAGCCAUUUUCUCUGCCAUCUUGCGGCCACUGCCAUCAAAUCUGUUUUGCCUCUUCUUACGGCACCCA